rnacentral:rRNA from 1 species
GGGGAAUAUUGGGCAAUGGAGGAAACUCUGACCCAGCAACGCCGCGUGGAGGAAGAAGGUUUUCGGAUCGUAAACUCCUGUCCUUGGAGACGAGUAGAAGACGGUAUCCAAGGAGGAAGCCCCGGCUAACUACGUGCCAGCAGCCGCGGUAAUACGUAGGGGGCAAGCGUUGUCCGGAAUAAUUGGGCGUAAAGGGCGCGUAGGCGGCUCGGUAAGUCUGGAGUGAAAGUCCUGCUUUUAAGGUGGGAAUUGCUUUGGAUACUGUCGGGCUUGAGUGCAGGAGAGGUUAGUGGAAUUCCCAGUGUAGCGGUGAAAUGCGUAGAGAUUGGGAGGAACACCAGUGGCGAAGGCGACUAACUGGACUGUAACUGACGCUGAGGCGCGAAAGUGUGGGGAGCAAACAGGAUUAGAUACCCUGGUAGUCCACACUGUAAACGAUGAAUGCUAGGUGUAGGGGGUAUCGACCCCUUCUGUGCCGCAGUCAACACAAUAAGCAUUCCGCCUGGGGAGUACGGCCGCAAGGUUGAAACUCAAAGGAAUUGACGGGGGCCCGCACAAGCAGCGGAGCAUGUGGUUUAAUUCGACGCAACGCGAAGAACCUUACCAGGUCUUGACAUCCACUUAAACUUACAGAGAUGUAAGGUGUGCUUGCACAAAGUGAGACAGGUGGUGCAUGGUUGUCGUCAGCUCGUGUCGUGAGAUGUUGGGUUAAGUCCCGCAACGAGCGCAACCCUUAUCUUCAGUUACUAACGCGUGAAGGUGAGGACUCUGAAGAGACUGCCGGGGACAACUCGGAGGAAGGUGGGGACGACGUCAAAUCAUCAUGCCCCUUAUGACCUGGGCUACACACGUGCUACAAUGGCCACGACAGAGAGAAGCGAAAUCGUAAGGUAGAGCGGAACUCAAAAAAGUGGUCCCAGUUCGGAUUGUGGGCUGCAACCCGCCCACAUGAAGUCGGAGUUGCUAGUAAUCGCGGAUCAGCAUGCCGCGGUGAAUACGUUCCCG